rnacentral:rRNA from 1 species
GAUGAACGCUGACAGAAUGCUUAACACAUGCAAGUCUUUGGCGAAGCUGUGCUUGCACAGCCUAGCCAAGGCGGACGGGUGAGUAACGCGUAAGGAACUUGCCCUGCAGUCAGGGAUAACAGACGGAAACGACUGAUAAGACCUGGUAAAGUCAGGCGGACUCAUGUCCAGCCUGAUGAAAAGAGAUGCUGCAGGAGAGCCUUGCGUCCUAUUAGCUUGUUGGUGGGGUAACGGCCCACCAAGGCGAUGAUAGGUAGCCGGCCUGAGAGGGUGGACGGCCACAAGGGGACUGAGAUACGGCCUUACUCCUACGGGAGGCAGCAGUGGGGAAUAUUGGACAAUGGGGGCAACCCUGAUCCAGCAAUUCUGUGUGCACGAUGAAGGUUUUCGGAUUGUAAAGUGCUUUCAGCAGGGAAGAAAAAAAUGACGGUACCUGCAGAAGAAGCGACGGCUAAAUACGUG